rnacentral:rRNA from 1 species
GAUGAACGCUGGCGGCGUGCCUAAUACAUGCAAGUCGAGCGAACAGACGAGGAGCUUGUUCCUCUGAGGUUAGCGGCGGACGGGUGAGUAACACGUGGAUAACCUACCUAUAAGACUGGGAUAACUUCGGGAAACAGGUGCUAAUACUGCCUCAUAUAUUGAACCGCAUGGAUCAAUAGUGAAAGACGGCUUUGCUGUCACUUAUAGAUGGAUCCGCGUCGCAUUAGCUAGUUGGUAAGGUAACGGCUUACCAAGGCAACGAUGCGUAGCUGACCUGAGAGGAUGAUCGGCCACACUGGAACUGAGACACGGUCCAGACUCCUACGGGAGGCAGCAGUAGGGAAUCUUCGACAAUGGGCGAAAGCUUGAUGGAGCAACACCGCGUGGGUGAUGAAGGUCUUCGGGUCGUAAAACCCUGUUGUUGGGAAAGAACAAAUGUAGAAUUAACUAUGCACGUCUUGACGGUACCUAAACAGAAAGCCACGGCUAACUACGUG